rnacentral:misc_RNA from 1 species
UUUCCGUAGGCGAACCUGCGGAAGGAUCAUUAUUGUAUAACCGAGGUGCGAGGGCUGUCGCUGACCCGAAAGGUCGUGCACGCCCGAGUGCCCUCACACACAUCCAUCUCACCCCUAUGUGCACCACCGCGUGGGUCCCCCUUUGGCUUGUUCGGAGGGGGGCUUACGUUUUCACACAAACUUUGUAUGCAGUGUAGAAUGUAUUUUUUGUUUUUGCGAUCACGCAAUCAAUACAACUUCCAACAACGGAUCUCUUGGCUCUCGCAUCGAUGAGAACGCAGC